GACGAACGCUGGCGGCGUGCUUAACACAUGCAAGUCGAGCGAGUUGAUUCCCUUCAGGGAUGAAGCUAGCGGCGGACGGGUGAGUAACACGUGGGCAACCUGCCUUAUAGAGGGGGAUAGCCUUCCGAAAGGAAGAUUAAUACCGCAUAACAUCAGAUUAUCGCAUGGUAGACUGAUCAAAGGAGUAAUCCGCUAUAAGAUGGGCCCGCGUCGCAUUAGCUAGUUGGUGAGGUAACGGCUCACCAAGGCGACGAUGCGUAGCCGACCUGAGAGGGUGAUCGGCCACAUUGGGACUGAGACACGGCCCAGACCCCUACGGGAGGCAGCAGUGGGGAAUAUUGCACAAUGGGGGAAACCCUGAUGCAGCAACGCCGCGUGAGUGAUGAAGGCCUUCGGGUUGUAAAGCUCUUUGAUCAGGGACGAUAAUGACGGUACCUGAAGAACAAGCCACGGCUAACUACGUGCCAGCAGCCGCCGCCGUAA
rnacentral:rRNA from 1 species